ACUCUUUCUCUACAGGACGCUGUACCCCGGCACUUGGGGCCUCUUGCACAGGCAGUCUCAAGGAGCUGGCGGUUCUCAUUCUCUCCCAGAUUACCUUCUCUCUCAUGUUCUGUCUGGCUGAUGGUUAUUUCUCUGUUUCUUCUUCCGUCCCAUUGCAUUUCUCUCUCUCUGUUCUGUGUCUUCCUUUCUUCCUGCCUCUCUUUCUCUCUGCUCCUUUCUUUCUCCCUCUG